rnacentral:rRNA from 1 species
UAAGGAAUAUUGGUCAAUGGGCGGAAGCCUGAACCAGCCAUGCCGCGUGCAGGAAGACGGCCUUAUGGGUUGUAAACUGCUUUUGUCAGGGAAUAAACCCUCGUUCGUGAACGAGGCUGAAGGUACCUGAAGAAUAAGCAUCGGCUAACUCCGUGCCAGCAGCCGCGGUAAUACGGAGGAUGCGAGCGUUAUCCGGAUUCAUUGGGUUUAAAGGGUGCGCAGGCGGGCGUAUAAGUCAGGGGUGAAAUGCCACGGCUCAACCGUGGAACUGCCUUUGAUACUGUAUGUCUUGAGUUUAGUUGAAGUGGGCGGAAUGUAGCAUGUAGCGGUGAAAUGCAUAGAGAUGCUACAGAACACCGAUAGCGAAGGCAGCUCACUAAGUUAAAACUGACGCUCAUGC